GGGACCCCAGGUCAGGCGAGACUACCCGCUGAGUUUAAGCAU
rnacentral:rRNA from 1 species